UACGUAGGGGGCUAGCGUUGUCCGGAAUCAUUGGGCGUAAAGCGCGUGUAGGCGGUUCGGUAAGUCCGCUGUGAAAGUCGGGGGCUCAACCCUCGGAUGCCGGUGGAUACUGUCGAGCUUGAGUACGGAAGAGGCGAGUGGAAUUCCUGGUGUAGCGGUGAAAUGCGCAGAUAUCAGGAGGAACACCAAUGGCGAAAGCAGGUAACUGGACUAUUACUGACACUCAACUGCGAAAGCUAGGGGAGCAAACAGG
rnacentral:rRNA from 1 species